rnacentral:rRNA from 1 species
UACGGGGGGGGUAAGCGUUGUUCGGAAUUACUGGGCGUAAAGGGCUCGUAGGCGGCCAACUAAGUCAGACGUGAAAUCCCUCAGCUUAACUGGGGAACUGCGUCUGAUACUGGAUGGCUUGGAUUCGGGAGAGGAAUGCGGAAUUCCAGGUGUAGCGGUGAAAUGCGUAGAUAUCUGGAGGAACACCGGUGGCGAAGGCGGCAUUCUGGACUGACAUUGACGCUGAGGAGCGAAAGCCAGGGGAGCAAACGGG